rnacentral:rRNA from 1 species
GACGAACGCUGGCGGCGUGCUUAACACAUGCAAGUCGAACGAUGGAGCCAGCUUGCUGGUGGCUUAGUGGCGGCCGGGGGCGUAACACGUGGGUGAUCAGCCGCAAACUUUUUGAUGAGCGUGGGAAACUGGGGCUAAUACCGCAUAUGACCGAUACUCGCAUGGGUGUUGGUCGAGAGCUCCGGCGGCCUGGGAUGGGCCAGCGGCCUAUCAGCUUGUUGGUUGGGUAAUGGCCUACCAGGGCAACGACGGGUAGCCGGCCUGGGAGGGGGACCGGCCACACGGGGCCUGCGAGAGGGCCCAGACUCCAAUGGGAGGCAGCGGGGGGGAGUAUUGCCCAAUGGGCGCAAGCCUGAUGCAGCGACGCCGGGGGAGGGAUGACGGCCUUCGGGUUGUAAACCUCUUUCGCCAGGGACGAAGCGAAAGUGACGGUACCUGGAGAAGAAGCACCGGCUAACUACGUG